UACGGAAGGCAGCAGUGGGGAAUAUUGCACAAUGGGCGCAAGCCUGAUGCAGCCAUGCCGCGUGUAUGAAGAAGGCCUUCGGGUUGUAAAGUACUUUCAGCGGGGAGGAAGGCGAUGCGGUUAAUAACCGCGUCGAUUGACGUUACCCGCAGAAGAAGCACCGGCUAACUCCGUGCCAGCAGCCGCGGUAAUACGGAGGGUGCAAGCGUUAAUCGGAAUUACUGGGCGUAAAGCGCACGCAGGCGGUCUGUUAAGUCAGAUGUGAAAUCCCCGGGCUUAACCUGGGAACUGCAUUUUGAAACUGGCAGGCUUGAGUCUUGUAGAGGGGGUAGAAUUCCAGGUGUAGCGGUGAAAUGCGUAGAGAUCUGGAGGAAUACCGGUGGCGAAGGCGGCCCCUGGGACAAAGCUGACGCUCAGGUGCGAAAGCGUGGGGAGCAAACGAGGAUUAGGAUACC
rnacentral:rRNA from 1 species